AUGAAAAUACACGGGCUUCCCAGGGUCUGGGGUAAAGCUCUCUUUCCUUGUUUUCUCAGAAAGGGAGCCAGGCGCUGCUGAAACCUUCCGCAGGCUCUCAGGGCAGAAGGAAGCACUGCAGCAGCAGCCUCAGAGCCAGGCCUGGUGCCUGCUGCUCCCCAGCUGGCAGCAGGAGCCCACCCAUGGGACCUGGCUCUGCCGGUCCUGAGGGUGGAAGAGCUCGACCUGCUGUGGAAGAGAGCCCAGUUUAGCGAAUCAAUCGCAGACAGCAAAGCCCCGUUCCUGUGGCUGCACUGCCAGUCACUGUGCUGCUGGCAGGGUGGAAUUUCCUGGUGGGGACAGCGCUGGAGAUUCCCAAGCAGUUACCGACAUGUGAAUGGUGGGAUGGUGGUGCCAUCACAAACGUUAAACUCUGCAGGGAGCUCAGGGCGCUCAAGCUGUGGGCUUGUCCCUUCCUCCACCAUCCUCAUAAGCAUCUCACCCUGAUACGGAGCUUAACUCUCUGCUUCGCCAGGUAAACACCUGGUUACGUUGCUCAGUGGCAGCAGGGACACAGGGAUGUAGCUGGAAUCUGCCAAGGAUCUAGCCGGGAUCUCCGUUGGAAGAUUUGUGUAUGGAACAGUCCCAUUUUGGUGAUAACCCAUUGCAAUGCAACCAGGGCUGCUGGAUCACAGGCCUGUUCUCAGCAAUGAACCCUGGAAAAAAGCCAACCACACUGACCAUUCCGGAUUUGGUCAUCUUCUGGAUUCUUGGCUUCCUGCUGAAAAGAAACAAGUUGCACCUAUCAGCCCUUACAGCUGAUACCAUCAGAGCCCUGGCUGGAAGGAUAUAUCUUUCAAGAUCCCUUGUGUCUGUGGGAAAAGAGAUCUCUCUGAGCUCAGCGUGCCAGCGCACACUCCUGGAUGCUGGCUGCAGGCUUCCUUGCAGCUGAAGUCUGUGCCAACCUCAGAGACCCUGACUGCAGAUAAACACCCAGGUGACCCUGGCCUACCAGCCUACCUGCACCUCCAGAGAUCCCAGCAAGCAUUUGCAGGAGAGCAAAAGAAGCCUGGUGGUUUAAAAUUGCACUUCCAUCAUGACUUGCAGCAAAACCUCUCUGGCUGAUCAGGAAGCAGAGCAUUUCACAUCACACCUGUCAUGCUAUGAAAUGAGGCUGGAAGAGUACAGGUGUUAGGAGCCUGCCAGGAUAACUCCAUGAGGAUCACUGUCCUUUUAUUUCUUCCCUUGCCCUCCAAGCAAUCCAUCAUCUAGGACAGAAUUCUGCUCUUCUGCAAUAGCAUGGAUGCACUUUCUGUAGCUCUGGCUGCUGUGUAAAUACACUGCUUUGCUGUUCUGGGGCAAGAAGGAAAAAUGAGCAGGAAGAAAAGCAACUGAAUGAAAAUAAACCACAUCCCAGUAAAGAGAUGAAAGACUGU
rnacentral:lncRNA from 1 species